rnacentral:tRNA from 1 species
UAAUAAGUUGGCAGAAUAGUGCCACAGGGUUUAAACNCGNUUUAUGGAUAACCUAUCCACUUAUUA